rnacentral:lncRNA from 1 species
CUGAUGUCCAUCUUGAUCCUGGGUGUCCACAUUAGGCCUGAUGUCCAACUGGGGCCUCGGUACCCACUGGGGGCUUCUGGUUAACCUGGGGACUGGUGUCAAUCUGGGGCCUAAUGACCACCUGGGUUGUAUUAUUCACCUAGGGCCUGGUGUCCACUUGGGGCUUGAGUGUAACCUUGGACCUGGCACCCACAUAGGACUUGGGUAUCAGACUGGCCCCUUGGUGUCCAGUUAAGACAUCAUGUGAACCUGGCGCCUGAGUGUCCACAUGGGGCCAAAUGACUACUGGGGGCCUGAAUGUCAACCUAGAAUCUGAGGUUUACUAGGGGUCUAGGUAUCCACCUGGGGCCUAAUGUCCACCUGAGCCUGGGUGUCAACCUGGGGCCUGAUGUAAACCUCUAGUUCAGUGUCCACCUUGGGCUUGAUGUCAACCUGAAGCCUGAUGUCCACCUGAGUACUGAUGUUCACCUUUGACCUGAUGUCCACCUGUGGACUCUUUGUCCACCCAUGGCCCGAUGUUCACAUGGGGCUGAAUGUCCAACUGUGACCUGUUGUGCACCUGGAACCUGGGCAUCCACCUGCGGCCUGAUGUUCAGCUGGGCUGGGACCCGGAGUUCACCUGAGGCAUGAUGUCCACCUGAAGCUUGAUGUUCAUCUGAGGGCUGGGUGUCCACCUGGGGCCCGAUAUCCACCUGGAGACUAGGUACCCACCUGGGAUCUGGUGUUCACUUGAGAUUGGUGUUUAGCUGUGGCCUAAUGACCACCUGGGUCAUGGUGUCUACCUUGGACUGGGUGCUCACCUGGAGCCAGUGUUCACCGGGGGCCUAGUGUGCACCUGAGACUGAGGGAUGCACCUGGGGCCUCCUGUCUACCUGGUGCCUAGUUAUCCACUUGGGGCCUAAUGUUCAUCUGGAAUCUGAUAUCCACCUGGGGCCUUGUAAUUACCUGGGAUCUGGGCAUCCACCUAGGGCUUGAGUAUCCUCCUGGGGCCUUGAGUUUUACUGGAGACUCGUGUCUGCCUUGGACCUGGGUGUACAUCUGUUGCCUAAUGCACACCUUGAGAGUGAUGUCAACCUGGGGACACAUGUCCUCUUGGGGUCUGAGUGUGCACCUGGUGCCUGAUGUCUGCCUGGGGACUUGUGUUCACCUGAGACCUGAUAUCCACCUGGGGCCUGGACGUCCACGAGGGGCUGAUGUUCAGCUGGAGACUGGAUAUCCACCUGGGGCUUAGGGAUCCACCCAGAAACUGAUGUCAAACUGGGGUCUGAUGUCUACCUGGGGACUAGGUAUCCAUGUGAGGCUUGAUGUUCAUCCAUGGCCAGACGUCCAUCUGAUGCUUGAUGUCCACCUUAGUCCUGGGUCUCUACUGGAGACCUCAUGUCGAACUAGAGCUUAGGAACCUACUGGGGGCCUCAUGUACACCUGGGGACUGGUAUGCAGCUGGGUCCUAAUGAUCCCCUGGGUCAUAUUAUUCACCUAGGGCCUGGUGUCCACUUGGGGCUUGAGUGUCAACCUUAGGUCUUGUGUUCAUCUUUGACCUGGUGUCCACCGGGGACUUGGGUAUCAACCUGAGGACUUGGUGUCCAAUUGAGGUGUCAUGACCACCUGGGGAUUGAAUGUCAAUCUGGGGCCUGAUGUAAACCUCUAGUUCAGUAUCCACCUGGGGCCAGAUGUCUUCCUAGAGACUUAUAUUCACUUUUGACCUGAUGUCUACCUGGGGACUUGCUAUCCCUCCAUGGUCUGAUAUUCACCUGGGGACAGAUGUUCAACUGUGGUCAGAAGUGCUCCUGGGGUCUGGGCUUCCACCUGGAGCCUGAUGUUUAGCUGGGGCUAGAGUUCACAUGGAGAAUGAUGUCCACCUGAAGUUUGAUGUUUACCUGGGACCUGAUACCUACCUGGUGCCCAAGUAUUCUCAUGUGCCUAACGUCCACUAGUUGGCCUGGUGUUCAUCUGAGGGCUUGGUGUCAAUCAGUGGCUUUAUGUACACCUGGAUUCUAGUGUCCUCCUGGGGCCUUAUGCCUACCAGGAGUCUGGUGUACCCCUGGGGUCUAGUGUCCACCUGGAGUCUGGGUGUCCACCUGGAGCCUAAUGUUGAGGUUAGACUGAGUGUCAGCUUGAGGCCUGAUGUCUACUUAGGGCAUAGGUAUUCAUCUGGGGCUUGUUGUUUACCUGGGGACUAAUGUCAACCUUGAGCCUAGGUAUCCACCUGGGGAAUAGUGUCCAGUUGCAGCCAGAUGUCCACCUAUGGCCUGAAGCAUGGUCGUUAUCCUAAGACCUUGUCCGUUUUCACACUGUUAUAAAAAACUACCUGAUUUUGGGCAACUUAUGAGGAAAAGAGGUUUAACUGACCCACAGUUCUUUAGGCUUAAUAGGGAGAAUGACUGGGCGGGCUCGGGCCACUUACAAUCAUGAUGUAAAGCCAAGAGGAAGCAAGCCCUUUUUACCAUGGGAGAGGAGGAGGGAGAGAGAAGGGGGAUGUGCUACACACUUUCAAAUAACCAGAUCUCGUAAGAACUCUAUCACGAGAACAGCAAGUGGGAAGUCUGCCCCCAUGAUUCAAUCACCUCUCACCAG